AAUACUUAUCCAUUAUUAUACAAAAAAUUACAAGACUGACACUGCAAAAAAAAAAUGUCAUCAUCUCUAUUGUCAGAUUGUUGGCGCGUCGUUUUAUGAAGCCUUGUAAUUACGAUAUCUACCUUCCACAAAAGAAAUAAGAUUAUUUAUGGCUGUCUCCCUGACCGCGGCAACCAAUGGUUAUAGGUGGAUGUUUUAUUCAAAGUGAUGUGCCAUUGAUUAGUUAAAAAGAGUUCUUAGUACAUUAAUUUCUUGUGCCAUAUUCAUUAUUAUUAAACAGCAUAAUAAUUAAUUCUCGUUUAAAGAUAACACAUGUUUAUUUCAGUUUUCCGUGUUUUCUCUUUUUAUUUGAAUAAUGUAACUAGGAAUCGCGAAAAGUCGCGGUGGUGGUGAUAUCGUGAGUAGCAAGAAACUUGUGACUCCGAUGACUAUACUCUCUUAUACAUUCCAAGAUGAAUACCAGAACGUAUGUAUGUACAGCAUCUUGUUACUGGUAUUUAGUAUAUGCUAAGAUAUUGUCGAUUAGACGAAUCAUUUUAAUCUGUAUUCGCUUGUUCUAGUUGUCUCGUGUCUUUUAAAGAUGAAAGCAGACUUGAUUCGCACUGUUUGUGCUGCAGACGUCGCUUUAGAUAUAUUUAUAAUAACUAUGGAGUUCUAUGUAAAGGUACUUACAAAAGCGAUGACAGCGGCGUAUGUGGCACGGCAGAGAGGCUAAAUCUGCGUUCACCAUUAGUCAUAAGCCGUGUAGCUUUUUAUGUAGAACGAAUGUAUGGUCUCAAUCUCAAUUAAAUUUAGUCGGGUCUCCCACAUUAUGUUUUUUGGUUUUUAUUUCGUCUUUUUCAAUUAUAAUAUGAUACUUGUAGGACACAAUAAAGUAAUUAAUUAUUGUUUUUUCCCUAACAUUCCCUUACCUGUCUCUUUACAAUGACUUUAAAAGCAGUUAAAAUAUAAAAAUAGAUUCCUUACAAUAUCUUGUGACAGUGAUUUUCUUUAUACUUUCAGGAAACGUGAAGUUUAUAAACUUACACGGAAAUGUAACAUUGCUUAUGGCUGAUAAAUAUACCUUCGCACGAUCAACUCCAAGGCACUGGUAUUGCUCGAAGAAGGGCAAAGGGUGUAAGGCAAGAGUAAUUUUGGACAAAGAUAAUCGAGUGGUAUUCAUAAAGAAUGAACACGAUCAUGAGCCACCGAUUUAUAAACAUGUAGGAGACUAUUAUAUUAAGCUCAGUCAAAACUGAAAUAAAGAAAAAGAAACUCGUCAAGUGCCUGUCCGACUAGCUACACUGAUAACUACCGUACUAAUAGCAGUUCUUUUUUUUCUUGUUUUCUUUUUAGUGUAUCGAUUGCAAAGGAGGAUGUUAAUAAAUCACCCAAUAAAUGUAUGACCGAACCCACCGUAGUUUAACUUCGAUGAUUAUUUUUAUUAGUUGCUUCUAUCAGUUCGAGUUAACAGAAAUACACCACCUUCAAAAAUAUUCACCGUCUAGCUAUAAGUGAUAAAGAAAUACAACCAAGACAGACAAAAGGGCACACGGCGUAGCUCAAGUACUCCGGACGAUGAGGAUUCCGGUUUCACCCUUUGGGUGCAGAGCCGUGAAAUUCUGAUCAAUAAAUCGAAAAAGUGAAGUUUAUAAAUCUAUCUGAGAACAAGCGGUUGUUGAUGGCAGAGGGAUUCACGUUUGCACAGACGACGCCGAGGCACUGGUACUGCUCCAAGAAAGGCAAAGGAUGCAAGGCAAGGAUAUUCUUAAACAAAGAUGAAACUCAAGUGGUAUUCUACAAUAACGACCAUAAUCAUGUACCACCGAUAUAUAAGAGAGUCAAUACCGGGUAUUAUGUCAAAAUUUAAAUUUUAAUAACGACGGGAAGAUUUGAUUUAAAAGCAUACCAGCUGAUAACCUUAUCUACGGGAAAACGGGUAAUACUGUACCAAAAUUACUCGUUCUCAUUCAAAGGGACGACGAAGACCAACGCGUACUGUUCUAAGUACGUCCUUCUGAAAUGCCUUGCGCGGAUCAAACUGGAUCGCGCAGGGCACAUCACUGCGGCCUUUACUGAACACAACCACCCCCCUCCCGUGUUUUAUCGAAAUGCCAAGGGGACGUACACAAAAUUGUGACUUCCUAUUAUUGGUAUGAAUUAAUCAGCUUAGACUCUUCAAGUAGACAAGUAAUAAUGUUCCAAGACUAUACGUAUUCGUAUAAAGGUCUGUCAAAAACGAAUGCUUAUUGUUCGAAGUACAUUAAGUUGAAAUGCCAGGCACGGCUGAAAAUGAAUCGUGAUGGUAAGAUAAUAGAAGCUAAUCUUGAACACAACCAUGAGCCCCCCAAAUUUUAUAAGCAUCGUGGAAAGUAUUGGAGAAUGGAAUGAUUGGAUGGCAUUGUAUCUAUGUGUUUAGAUUAAAAAAAUCCCAUAAAUGUCCAUGUUUUGAUGUACCAACAUUGGAGUUUGUCCCAAGCAAGCGUGGUGGUACGAUCCUUAUCUAUAAAGGGAAUACCUACGUCCAGAUGACCUCCAAGACUCGAUGGUACUGUUCCAAGAAGACAAUAGGAUAUAAUUACUACGAAAUAAUAACUUUCGUGAACGGGAAAUCUUUGAUAUACUUCCAAAAUUAUACAUUCUCGUACCAAGGACCAAAGGAUGUGAAGCUGUACCCGUACUGUUCUAAGAGGGCUACAUUACGAUGCAAAGCCAGGUUGAAACUAGACAAGUCAGGGAACAUAGUACAUGCAUAUACCCAACAUAACCACCCACCCCCGGUAUUAAGGCAAAUUGGUAAUGGACGUUACAUCAGAAUAGAUAAAUAGAGUUUAUUCAAGUUAAUUAUCAUGAUCCAACAAAGUCAGGGUGACUCGUGUCAGAAUUUUUGGUUUUUACCUAUAAAACUAGUCGGAGAAUCCAAUAUACUCGUAUGACGUACGAGGUUUUUGGAUUAUUACCAGCGAUACCGACUCGCCAAUCCGGCUGCCUUCCCGACACGGCGAGAGGAACCCGUUAGUCCAACUGGGAGAGUCUCUGACAUUCUUAAUUCUAUUUUGAAAAGAAAAAAUUAAGCUGCUCUGUCAAACAGUUUCAAAAAGUCACCAAGCUGUUAACUCUAUAUUGGUAAUUGGAUUUGUUUAGGUAACUUCAAUAAUCACAUUUUUUUUAAUAGUGUUUCUAGUAGAGUUCCACUAUACCACAACUGCAACCAUUUCUUUGAGUGGUAGGUGUACUUAAGCUUAGGUUAACGACUAUACUAGUCAUUAUAUUAUCAAUUUUUGUCUCAACAAGUUACAUAGUUCGUAGGCACUAUCAUCCGUGUUUUAGAGGGCACGUAAAAUGUGGUUUCUGCGCCUGAUCUCUCGCCGGUCGUGUCUAUUGCCGGCCUUUUAGGAGAGUAAGGCAAAAAGAGGGGGUUGUGAUAGCGCAAACUCUUUUGCACUAUAUUGUGUCCCGCGCAGCAGCCGUGGUGUCUUGCGAUUCUGAUCGGCUUGGCCAAGCUCUGUCAAGACACGUUAUAAUGAUCAUAGGCUAAGUUGCUUUACUCUAUUUAACGGCUUUUGAUAAUAUUUACAAAUAAUUAUGUAUUUAUAUUAAAGUAGAAGCAGUGUAACCCCAGUAGGAUAAACGGGGAUUUGUUCCAAUAUAUUCUACCAAGUAUAGGUGAGGAAAGGAUAUAAUCUUAAAGAUUUUACGGAUUUUAGGUUUGGUCCUCUAGGGAUGUUGUAAGUCAUAUAUAAUACUAGUUUUUAAGGGUUUCCUCUAAGCUUUAUAAUAAUUGAUUGCAGCUUGUAUCUUUUUAUCUUAAAUAAAUACUGUAUACAGUAUAAAUUGUAACAGAGCUACAUUUUUUUUAUUUCAUCUCCAUUAAAUAUUUUACAAUCCUUACCAUUGAUGAGUAUGUUAUCAGAUACUCCUUAUACCUUCAUUUCUCAUCGUCAGACACGUAAUCAUCCUCUUUUAUUUCAGAACAAAGCUAUGAAAAGAUUACGUUUUUGAAUGGUCAAACAGUGAUAUUGUACCUGAACCAUACAUUUUCGUUUCAAGGAAAAAGGGCUGUGAAUUUUUACGCCUACUGCUCUAAGAAACUUUCUAAGAAUUGCAAAGCGAAAAUUAAGCUAGACGCGCAUGGGUACAUACUAAGUGCAGAAACAGAACACACACACCCACCACCCCUAUUAAAACGAACCUCGCAAGGGUUAUACAUUAGAUUAUAAAAUUGCUAAACUUUAAAAAUGUAUAUCGUAAUAUGCCUCAUUUUUCCCAGGAUUCUUAAGCAGUAACAUUUAAAUUCUAAAAUAAAUAACUUAAUUCGGAACUAGCUUUUGAUUAUGUCUCAUCAAACAAAUUUAUUAUUAAACUUCUCACAUGAAAACAUCGUGAUGAAACCUGGAAUCGUAAUUUUGGAAUGUUGUCAUCACAAACACACAAUCGGGGACGACCACUGAAUAAGUAAGUCUAUGAAGACAAGAGAAACGACGGGCUACUACACGACUGCGAUAUAACUGCAUUUAAUAUUACAAAGAGUUAUUGCUACACACAAUUGAACUGCUUCUAUUUUUUCUUUCAGGUUACAUAGAGCGGUUUCCAACAGCUCGUGGUCAAGUUAUAAUGUACAGAAAUUAUACCUACUCAUGUCGGACCGCAAAAAACAUAUUGUACUGUUCCAAACAACUUCGCGGUAAAUGUGAAGCGAAGCUUAAGAUCGACCAGUACGGCAGAGUUGUGCGUGAGGAAAAUAGUCAUAACCAUGAUCCCCCUCGCUACAUAAGAGCUAGUAACGGAUUGUAUGUGUGCAGCGGAGAACUUACCCACAACGAGCAGUGCGGCUGCAGCGACCCAACUCUGUCCUCGCGUGUUCCAUAAUGGUUUGAAGGGGGCCUGUUCAAUCACGAUUGGAGAAGACGGCAGACUCAAGGAUGAGUACCUUGAUCAUGACCCUCGCUACGUAUUGGAUAAAGACGGAUGAUCAAAACGGCAAAAAAGUGACGUUUUCAAAAAGCUGCGGAAAAUCUGGGUGACCAUCUCUCCUUAAAGUAAGAAAUGGUUGGAGCGGCUUCCAUCUAUCACAACUGCCACUGUCUACCUUUAAGUAAGAACGUAAUAAAAUGAAAUGCUUGUACAAUAAAUGCUUUUUCGUAUUUGAUUUAAAACCUAUCCUUUGUUUCCCUUAUUCUGUAAACAUUGCUCAGCAAUAGUUUAGUUAAAGUAGUUCACUAGUUUAGUAAGUAUAGAAUUAAAACGAAAAAGUAAUUUUCACUCUUGAAAGUACUACAAAGGAAUGUAACAUUUACAGAUACGGAGCUGAAAUUCUUGAGAACUUCAAAACAUAAUGGCGUGAUGAUGUAUCAGAAUUACACAUUCUCUUUUAUUGACAAAAGUAAGAGGUAUUUACGUUGUUCGAAACGGACGCGGGGCAAGUGCGAAGCGAAGAUCCAGCUCAAUGAUGAUGGCGCCGUGAAGUUUGCGGAGACAACCCACAAUCAUCCACCACCGAAGUACUACCAAACGCCCGAUGGUAUACA